AAAUUGUAUGUAAUAAUUGUAUGUAUUGUAAAUAUAAAAUAAACGUCAUCAAUUUUUAUAAAUUAGUACAUAUUACAAGUCCCAUCGUACAUUGCUGUUUCAAGUUCAUGUAACAAUAACGCUAUGUAACCGUAGCCUCAAUAUUUAUUGUUACAUUCGUAAUUAAUCAGGUCCUUACCCGACCAUGCAUUCCGGUAUUUAGUCUCCAAUGUAACAAUAAUAUUUUUAU
rnacentral:lncRNA from 1 species